rnacentral:tRNA from 1 species
GGAAGAGUAUCGCCCCCGGUGGGGUGCGCGGCCUUCAAAGCCGUUGAGACGCGACUACGUGUCUGGUGGGUUCGACUCCUACCUCUUCCGCCA